ACGCACGCUGGCGGCGUGCUUCACACAUGCCGGUCGCACGGUGAAGCUCCAGCUUGCUGGAGUGGAUCAGUGGCGAACGGGUGAGUAACACGUGAGCAACCUGCCCCUGACUCUGGAAUAAGCGCUGGAAACGGCGUCUAAUACUGGAUACGAGAAGGGUCCGCAUGGGCACUUUCUGGAAAGUUUUUCGGUUGGGGAUGGGCUCGCGGCCUAUCAGCUUGUUGGUGAGGUAAUGGCUCACCAAGGCGACGACGGGUAGCCGGCCUGAGAGGGCGACCGGCCACACUGGGACUGAGACACGGCCCAGACUCCUACGGGAGGCAGCAGUGGGGAAUAUUGCACAAUGGGCGAAAGCCUGAUGCAGCGACGCCGCGUGAGGGAUGACGGCCUUCGGGUUGUAAACCUCUUUCAGCAGGGAAGAAGCGAAAGUGACGGUACCUGCAGAAGAAGCACCGGCUAACUACGUG
rnacentral:rRNA from 1 species